rnacentral:tRNA from 1 species
GCCCCAGUAGCUCAGAGGAUAGAGCAGCGGUUUCCUAAACCGUUGGUCGCAGGUUCAACUCCUGCCUGGGGUA